rnacentral:rRNA from 1 species
UUCGGGGCACUAUGUUAGUGGCGCACGGGUGAGUAACACGUGGGAACGUACCCUUUAGUGCGGAAUAACCAAGGGAAACUUUGACUAAUACCGCAUACGCCCUUCGGGGGAAAGAUUUAUCGCUAAAGGAUCGGCCCGCGCCUGAUUAGGUAGUUGGUGGGGUAAAAGCCUACCAAGCCGACGAUCAGUAGCUGGUCUGAGAGGAUGAUCAGCCACACUGGGACUGAGACACGGCCCAGACUCC